GAUGAACGCUGGCGGCGUGCCUAAUACAUGCAAGUCGAGCGAACGGACGAGAAGCUUGCUUCUCUGAUGUUAGCGGCGGACGGGUGAGUAACACGUGGAUAACCUACCUAUAAGACUGGGAUAACUUCGGGAAACCGGAGCUAAUACCGGAUAAUAUUUUGAACCGCAUGGUUCAAAAGUGAAAGACGGUCUUGCUGUCACUUAUAGAUGGAUCCGCGCUGCAUUAGCUAGUUGGUAAGGUAACGGCAUACCAAGGCAACGAUGCAUAGCCGACCUGAGAGGGUGAUCGGGCACACUGGAACGGAUACACGGUCCAGACUCCUACGGGAUGCAGCAGUAGGGAAUCUUCCGCAAUGGGCGAGAGCCUGACGGAGCAACGCCGCGUGAGUGAUGAAGGUCUUCGGAUCGUAAAACUCUGUUAUUAGGGAAGAACAUAUGUGUAAGUAACUGUGCACAUCUUGACGGUACCUAAUCAGAAAGCCACGGCUAACUACGUG
rnacentral:rRNA from 1 species